rnacentral:misc_RNA from 1 species
GGAAGUAAAGUCGUAACAAGGUUUCCGUAGGUGAACCUGCGGAAGGAUCAUUAUUGUAUAACCGAGGUGCGAGGGCUGUCGCUGACCCGAAAGGUCGUGCACGCCCGAGUGCCCUCACACACAUCCAUCUCACCCCUAUGUGCACCACCGCGUGGGUCCCCCUUUGGCUUGUUCGGAGGGGGGCUUACGUUUUCACACAAACUUUGUAUGCAGUGUAGAAUGUAUUUUUUGUUUUUGCGAUCACGCAAUCAAUACAACUUUCAACAACGGAUCUCUCGGCUCUC